CUUGGCCUAGUACAAAGCAAACUCUUGGGCUAACCAGUUUUUCACUGGAAAUUGUUAGGCUGAAUCCCGUCAAAGCUUCAGGUUUAGUUGGUGAGUAUGUUGCCUCUCAAAUACCUGCCCUAAGAGUUAUCUGGAAAACCCAGGUAACAGCAGAAACCUGUUUGUAUUUUUUUUCCCUUUUCCAGGUGUAUGGUGAUUCUCAAGCCUGCAGACGAGGGUCCCGUGGGGUGAAAGCAGGAAGGCGUUUGGGAGUUUCAGGUGAUUCUUCCAAAGGAGCGAGUUUAGGAUCCCUGAGAUCAUCUGACUGAGGUCCGAACUGCGCAGGUGCGGCCCCAGGAGAACACCCCCAGCUCCUCCAGGAUGACCCCCGCACUCCGUGGGCCCACCUGGUGUGGUCCCUGGUUUACAAGGAUAGGAACUCCUACUAUAUUCCUGCUGCCCUUUAAGGCACAGCUGUUUUAAAAAUUUAAAACAGAAAAACUUUCAGUGUCACAAAAGAAUACUGAUUCUACACUCACCGAAUGGAAACACACAACUUGUAUCAGAAAAAGGAACCACCCCAAUCCCAGGGUAUAAGCUGAGGACCAAUAUCCAGCUGAAACCUCAGAGGGGACCCAAGGACUCAAAAGCAUCAGCCGGGACACCAGGACGACCCAGAGACUUGUUCAACACUUCUUGAAUGACCAGGGGUUUUGGAUUCUCUCUCUCAUCUCAGGCAAAAAUACAGUACUAUAAGGCACCAGAAAGUUUCACAGCAAUCACGGGGCUGCAGGUUCUAACCCAGGGAGCAUCUCUUUCCAGUAUGUAUUUACAAAGGUGCGUGUUUAACGCACACCUCACCCGAGUUUCCGAGUUCCUCGCCCUCAUUCAACUCACCACCCCCUCUUCUCUAAGCCUCCUUCGCCUCAAACCUGGUGCGCAACUCUCAUUUUCCCUUUGGCACAAAUGGGCCAAACGGAGGCCGUUCUGACACCUCGGUGAGUGUAGACAAAUCAGCCCUAAGGGACUGACCCCCAAGCCCUGCCACCAGGCCCUCAACUGUGCUGCUCUCUGUCAUCUUCUGUUCCAGGUCUUAAAUUUCUAGAGGGCGAGGACCUCCACCCUCUUCUAGGAGACGGUGCUACUUUCACAAUUUCCUGCAGGCCUGACCGGAGGAACGAGGUCAAGAGGCUAGUGAGAGAACUAACAUAGGUUUAUGGAAAAGAUGUGGGUAAACUGGGAAUAAACUGCAUGUUUACAAAAAGCAGUUACAGUGUAAAUGUAUGAGAAACUAGUCAGGUAAAGGGCUGCUGAGCUGACGCUUUCAGGAGGCAGUACUUUGGGUGAUUCACUGCUCUACGCAGAUCCUUCCAUCCCCCCUACACUCUGACUAGCCCUCUGGAUCGUCUGCCGAUUUCUCUGGUGUAAAUACUCCCACCACGGCCGAUUAAGCUGCAACAGUUUAACGACCAGCAGACUGUUGAACAGCAGCUUUUGCUGGCUGCUGCGAGCCGGCUCUGGCAGACUAGACACUGGGUCUCCUUCUAAAGCAAUACGUGCCCCGGCCAUCCCCACCGCGGUUCUCCGGCCCAGAGCUGGGUGGGCUGUGGGUGCGGAGAGCCCGUGGUCUCCAGGUCACCAUACUUACAGCUGCCGGGCUUGUGAACGGGCACGGAAUCCCACUCUGGCGGUGGAGAGUCUUUUUC